rnacentral:rRNA from 1 species
GAUGAACGCUGGCGGCGUGCUUAACACAUGCAAGUCGAACGGAAAGGCUCCUGCUUGCAGGGGUACUCGAGUGGCGAACGGGUGAGUAACACGUGGGUGAUCUGCCCUGCACUUCGGGAUAAGCCUGGGAAACUGGGUCUAAUACCGGAUAGGACCAUCGUUUAGUGUCGGUGGUGGAAAGUUUUUUCGGUGUGGGAUGAGCUCGCGGCCUAUCAGCUUGUUGGUGGGGUAAUGGCCUACCAAGGCGUCGACGGGUAGCCGGCCUGAGAGGGUGUACGGCCACAUUGGGACUGUGAUACGGCCCAGACUCCUACGGGAGGCAGCAGUGGGGAAUAUUGCACAAUGGGCGCAAGCCUGAUGCAGCGACGCCGCGUGGGGGAUGACGGCCUUCGGGUUGUAAACUCCUUUCGCCAGGGACGAAGCGAAAGUGACGGUACCUGGAUAAGAAGCACCGGCUAACUACGU